UCUGGGUCAGUACCUAGCAGAAAAUGCAAAUGGACUUGCAUGAAAGAGCGUUUGGCAGAAAAUCUGCAAUUAAAUAGUAAUAUUGAAGAUUCAAAUGGAAAAGCUUUCUGGCGCAAAAUUCUUGGUUUCUAGAAUUUCUUGCCAAAGUACUACUGAAGCCAGGAUUUUGCAGAUUGUGUCUGUCUUGCGGAACCAGGGAGGACUUCCCAGGCAUGGUCUGGCUCCACGCUCGGACGAGAUCAAGUCUGACAAGUUGGGUUCCCCUGAGAGCGGGAUGCACAUAUGUUUUGGAAAGAACCUGGCCUAAAAUUAAGCUUGCAGUUUGGAAGAAGCUGAAAAUGGGCAUAUGAAAGGAAGCAAAAGGAAAUGCAAUACAGUACUUCCAAAACUAAUCGGUCAGGAGAGAAUUAUUGCAGACCUAGAUCCUUAAUGGGAGGAAACUGCACAGAAGGCAGAAAUGACUGAAAUGACCUAGAGAUGACAGGGCCUGUAAAAAUGAGGUGAAUAUAUAAGACUCAGUAUCCUCCUGAGGACACUCUCUUCCAUCUAGCUGUGGCUGUGGACAGUGGUGACCACCAAUUUGCCUUCCCUCCCCUGGCAAGAAGGACCAGGACGUAAACUGCCAGCUGACAGGAACUGCAGGAUUGCUUCUGUAAUGACUGUUUCACAUUAUGGGGAGGUUCUCAACUGUGGGAAGGAGAAACUGAGAAGCAUAAGGGCUGAAGAGAAGACACCUCUAGCAACCUGCAGCCUGGAAAGACAAAGAUAGAGAUAUGAUCAUCCUGUUCUGCUCAGCAUUUGUCAGGUGGCACCUGGAGUCCAGUUUCAGACCCUACAGGUCAAAAAAGAGACGGUCAGACUGGAAGGGGUCCAAAGGAGGGCCAUGAAGAUCAUCAAAAGGCUGGAGAAUGUAAGGAAAGAUGGAAGGAGUUCGGUCUUUUUACCCUGGAGAAGUGAAGGCUCAGGGGACUCAGUUUUCCAGUACUUAAAGGGUGGCUACAAAAGAGGAGGGAGACUUUCCAGGAGCCACAUGGAGAGGACAAGGCAGAAUGAGAAAGAAUGGUGGGGAUAUUUACUAUUGUGCUACCAUAAACCACCACACUCAGUACUGUUUCUGCCAAAAUGAAAAAAGAAAAUGUUAACUGACAACUAAAGUUUAGAACAGCAGGUGACUCUUGUUAGCAGCAGGUCUGAGGUGCCUCUGGAUGCAAAGCGGCGAUUCUGUUAGUCAUCAUACGUUUUGGAUCUCCCUGUUGCUUUGAAAAGUGUGAAGCACUGCCAAAUCCCAUUGGGUUACAGCCUGCCCACACCCAGAACUAAAAUACAGCUCCAGAUCUCUGAAGUGCCAGUUUAAUGCCAGUACACGGAAGGGUACCACCAAAGGACAGAGACAAGAAGCCUCCCCGUCUGCAGAAGAUUCACAGCUUCUAUUUUGUGAGGAUUAUUGGGAUGAUGAAUAAGUGCUAUGAAGUUUACUUCACAGUCUUCAAGUCUUCUGUCAGAGCUUUCAAAAUAGUCAUUUGGAUUUGCAAACUUUCACAGUACUUUGGCAGCACUGCUCAGUACUUUCCUACAACACAGAUACCUUUCCACAGAAGCAUUAGCUAUGCAAGCAGAGCUAUUACGUUAUGAAAAAUGCCUGUAGAGUUUCUCAUAGAGCAACAGGAGAACAGAAAGACCAUUCUUUCACCCCUUUCUGCUGCUAGGCACCCCGGCCCCAACAGACAGCAGGUCACUGCAGGCUACUUUGCCCUCCUCUUCUUAAUUCCCCAGCAAUCUGCACAAAGAAGUACCCUGCUCCACCCCCUGCAUAACCAGACACAAGGCUGAACCAAGGCAGGAUGCACACAACAUGAAAUAUCCUCACGGUGUAAGAGCAAAGCAUGGGAUUGGCUUUGCAAGUAUCUGUUUUAUAGUAGCUUGAUGUGGACUGUAAUUCCUUAUGCUGUGCUGACUCACACAAGUGUUCAAUAGGAUAAAGAUCUUAAUAUGAUCUAUUGAGUUUGUCCUGAUCCACUUUUGGUGCAUUAUUCUACUAAUGGCAACUUAGUAGGUUCCAACCAAAGAAUGAAAACCGGCCAUUCUUGUACUCUAUUCUCUGAUAAAACCCUUGAGCUAGAUUCUGAUAUCUCUACUGAAGUUUUGAAGUGAUGGACCAGGUCCACACACACCUGCUCUGAUUAGAAAUCUCCUUAGAGUAAAUGCAAUCUGAAUUAGAAAUCUUAUAGUAGAUACUCCAGGAUCUGUGGAAGUACUGAAUUUUAUCUCCAUCUUUAUUUCUCAAGAUACAGGUUGUCCCUAGGGACUGUCCCCACUCUCCGUGGGUACUUCUGCACCAGCACACCCCAGAGGGCCCCUGGAUCCAGAGAUCCCAGGUGCCAGUCAGUUCUCCCUUAAGGUGAGAUCUCCUUUCCUCUUCCUUCCCAGAGGUCCUUGGAAGGAAGGCAGCAAAUCAAAAAGGCCCACUGGCUCAGAGGUGACUCCUAGCAGUGCUUUAAACAGUUUGAGCAGGACAGGCAGGGGUACUUCCCGGAGCUGGGAAUGUAGGCUCGACUCAUCCCUCCAAAGCCAUGCUUGGAUGCUAGCCCAGGUGGAGGAGAGCUUAGCUAUCUCUUCCACACAGUCCUUCACGUGAGAAGGCUUUUCUGAGUGAUUUGAGAGGGUACUGAAGAAGACAGCGAAACGGGCAGCACCGGCCGAAAGAAACAGUGCAGUAAGUGUGCGCACACCGAUCCGUUGUACUCGGCAGUGGUUUAUCCAUCUUCAGGAAAACAAGAGCCAAACCUCAGAGUCCUUCUCAGGAGGGAAUCCUGUGUGGCAUGUCAGGAUCCAUAGUUCGGAUCACAGGAGGGAGAUGGCGUGUCUUCCCUGGCCUCCAUGGAUCCCCACAAGCUCAUCCCAGCACCAGCCACGGAUGGGAGCAACUGAGGAACUGCCCAGCAUCAUCUGCCCUUCAUGACCUUCUGCAUGAGGCUGGUGGAUCUGUGGCUGCUGACACAAAGGACUGCAAUGUCUGCGUGGCUAUGUAUGGCCUUCUUUCUCUCUGGGGGUCUGAUACAAAAUCUAGUGAAGAAUGUUGGAGUAUUUUGCUUCUUGGAGGUUUUUUCCCCUGUGCAGAUUUAUAUUACUUUUUUUUUGUUUAAAGAUGUGGAGUGUACUAUAUAUAAGAUGUACCACGUAUUUUUUUAAAAAGCCCACAAUUUUAUUUUGGUUUUGGCAGCUGAAAGUCUAAACAUUUAGGUAAAGAACAGAGGUGUUGGGUUUGCGUUGCCAAAAUCUUACUCAUAAGGUACCCUAUCCCAUUAUUUUUUCCAUCUGUUUUGUCUCUUAGACAUUAUUGCAGCAGCUUAAGAGUUUAAUUUAUUUCUACCGCGGCAUAGGAAGAGGAUGUGAGAAGAGUCAGAACUGCUUAAAACCAUAACCUUAACUGCUGAAAUAUUCUAUUUAUGAAAACACCUUCUGAAUUUAUGUUCAAAAUCCUCCACCUGAUUUGCUGACUGAGGAGGAAGAGAGAGCAAGGGAUUUUUCUAUGUCAGUUCUGCACAAUUACGGCUGUAUUGAAUAUUUAAAUACGUAUUUGCAGUCAGUGCAUACUGUUAUACACCUUUUUAUUUUCUUGUGUAUGACAAUUUGUGAAAGAUUACAGUUACCUUUUUAUUAGAGUAAAAACAAAAUAUCCAACAAAUACUGAAUUAUAGUAUCAUGUAAGUUGAUGUUAUUUUCUAUUUUACUCCAAAACUCUUUGUGAGUACUAAUGCCAGUAGCAGAUUUGGGAGAUAUGUUACAGGCAGCAUGUUGUCUGGAUGAUGGCAGGGGUAAAGAAACCUAGAACAAAGACGAUUUUGGGAAAACCAAGAGCCUUUUAAUCUGUAUUCAGACACCUAACUAAGAGCUGGUCUGCUCAGUCCUCGAGUACCUGAAGGCUGCUUGCACAAGCAGCUUCAUUCUGCAGCAUCGCUAUGUCUGUAUGGACAGCUUCAUCCACUCUGCUCUCAGGCUCCCUGUGCACCUGAAACAUGUCUCCAAACCAUAAAUAAUAGUUUCUGGCUGGCGUAGAGCCUCAGUCCUGGAGGCUGAUUUAUGGACCUUCAGGAAGUAUGAGCCAGCCCUUGAGGCCGGAGGCCCAACCUUCCAUAUUUUAAUAUCCAGAUCCAGGAGGAUAUAGGAGUG